rnacentral:rRNA from 1 species
UACGGAGGGUGCAAGCGUUAUCCGGAUUUACUGGGCUUAAAGGGUGCGUAGGUGGUUCUGUAAGUCAGUGGUGAAAUCUCCGGGCUUAACCCGGAAACUGCCAUUGAUACUAUAGAUCUUGAAUAUCCUGGAGGUGAGCGGAAUAUGUCAUGUAGCGGUGAAAUGCUUAGAUAUGACAUAGAACACCAAUUGCGAAGGCAGCUCACUACGGGAUUAUUGACACUGAGGCACGAAAGCGUGGGGAGCAAACAGG